GACGAACGCUGGCGGCGUGCUUAACACAUGCAAGUCGAACGCUGAAGCUCAGCUUUUGUUGGGUGGAUGAGUGGCGAACGGGUGAGUAACACGUGAGUAACCUGCCCCCUUCUUUGGGAUGACGCCCGGAAACGGGUGCUAAUACUGGAUAUUCACUGGUCUUCGCAUGGGGGUUGGUGGAAAGGGUUUUUCUGGUGGGGGAUGGGCUCGCGGCCUAUCAGCUUGUUGGUGGGGUGAUGGCCUACCAAGGCUUUGACGGGUAGCCGGCCUGAGAGGGUGACCGGUCACAUUGGGACUGAGAUACGGCCCAGACUCCUACGGGAGGCAGCAGUGGGGAAUAUUGCACAAUGGGCGCAAGCCUGAUGCAGCGAUGCCGCGUGAGGGAUGGAGGCCUUCGGGUUGUGAACCUCUUUCGCUCAUGGUCAAGCCGCAACAAUGGUUGUGGUGAGGGUAGUGGGUAAAGAAGCGCCGGCUAACUACGUG
rnacentral:rRNA from 1 species